GGCUGUAGCUCAGUGGUAGAGCACUUGUUUUGCGCGUGUGAGGCACUGGGUUCGAUCCUCAACACCA
rnacentral:tRNA from 1 species